GUGGGGAAUAUUGGACAAUGGGCGAAAGCCUGAUCCAGCCAUGCCGCGUGAACGAUGAAGGCCUUCGGGUUGUAAAGUUCUUUAGCCGAUGAUUAUAAUGACUGUAGUCGGAAAAUAAGCCCCGGCUAACUUCGUGCCAGCAGCCGCGGUAAUACGAAGGGGGCGAGCGUUAUUCGGAAUCACUGGGCGUAAAGCGUGCGUAGGCGGUUUUGUAAGUUAGGAGUGAAAGCCCAGGGCUCAACCUUGGAAUUGCUCUUAAAACUGCAAGGCUCGAAUCUCGGAGAGGAUAGCGGAAUUUCCAGUGUAGCAGUGAAAUGCGUAGAUAUUGGAAGGAACACCAGUGGCGUAAGCGGCUAUCUGGACGAGUAUUGACGCUGAGGCACGAAAGCGUGGGGAUCAAACAGGAUUAGAAACCCGUGUAGUCC
rnacentral:rRNA from 1 species